rnacentral:rRNA from 1 species
CUUGAGGAAUAAGCCACGGCUAAUUCCGUGCCAGCAGCCGCGGUAAUACGGGAGUGGCAAGCGUUAUCCGGAAUUAUUGGGCGUAAAGCGUCCGCAGGCGGCCUUGUAAGUCUGUCGUUAAAGCGUGGAGCUUAACUCCAUUUCAGCGAUGGAAACUACAAGGCUUGAGUGUGGUAGGGGCAGAGGGAAUUCCCGGUGUAGCGGUGAAAUGCGUAGAUAUCGGGAAGAACACCAGUGGCGAAGGCGCUCUGCUGGGCCAUAACUGACGCUCAUGGACGAAAGCCAGGGGAGCGAAAGGGAUUAGAUACCCCUGUAGUCCUGGCCGUAAACGAUGAACACUAGGUGUCGGGGGAAUCGACCCCCUCGGUGUCGUAGCUAACGCGUUAAGUGUUCCGCCUGGGGAGUACGCACGCAAGUGUGAAACUCAAAGGAAUUGACGGGGGCCCGCACAAGCGGUGGAGUAUGUGGUUUAAUUCGAUGCAACGCGAAGAACCUUACCAGGGUUUGACAUCCUGCGAAUCCCUUGGAAACGAGGGAGUGCCUUCGGGAGCGCAGAGACAGGUGGUGCAUGGCUGUCGUCAGCUCGUGUCGUGAGAUGUUGGGUUAAGUCCCGCAACGAGCGCAACCCACGUCUUUAGUUGCCAGCAUUCAGUUGGGCACUCUAGAGAGACCGCCGGUGAUAAACCGGAGGAAGGUGUGGAUGACGUCAAGUCAUCAUGCCCCUUACAUCCUGGGCUACACACGUACUACAAUGCUACGGACAAAGGGUUGCAAGCUCGCGAGAGUUAGCUAAUCCCAUAAACCGUGGCUCAGUUCAGAUCGUAGGCUGCAACUCGCCUACGUGAAGGAGGAAUCGCUAGUAAUCGCAGGUCAGCAUACUGCGGUGAAUACGUUCCCGGGCCUUGUACACACCGCCCGUCACACCAUGGAAGUUGGCCAUGCCCGAAGUCGUUACUCCAACCCUUGUGGAGGAGGACGCCGAAGGUGGGGCUGAUGACUGGGGUGAAGUCGUAACAAGGUAGCCGUACCGGAAGGUGCGGCUGGAUCACCUCCU